UUCACAAGCCCUGUACAAGACUUGAGGCUCACACAGCUCUGGAGGAUGGAGUUGAGCCCUGAGCACCUGGGGAUGUGGCAGGCUGGCCAGAAGUUCUCUGAGGAAGGUGCUGAUGCGAACACCUGCAUGAUGAAUGAAGUACCAAGUGCCACAGCUCCUGGAGCAGCCACACAGUUGCGAGGUAUCACAUGCUCCUGGUGGAUCCAUGCCCUGUGCCAGCUCAGCCAGGAGUGGAAGGACACAGACCUCAGACAAGCAAUAUGCCUGGCAGGUAGAUGUGCUGAAACCCAGAGUAGUAAGGCACACCGUGACUUCUGCUGUCCUUGCUGGUGGGAUAGGGAGAAGGAAUGCCACCUGGAAAGGCUCCUCCACCUCUGCUCUCAUAGAGAAGUCACACAGGCCUUGGUACUGAGACCUGCAACUCAAUCUGUGGACAUGACCUUUCGGCUGAUUUCAGGAUUGCUAGAUGUCCACAGAGCAUGAAGGCACCUGUGUUUUGCUGUCAAGGACUCUGGAAGUGCUGUUAGAAUCUAGCUGCCCCCCCCCCCACUGCUGCCUGUGUUAGCAAUAUUAACAAAAAGUUAUUUCCAAAACUGAAGUGAAGAGCCAAC